rnacentral:rRNA from 1 species
CGAUCCUACGGAGCAGCAGUGGGGAAUAUUGGGCAAUGGGCGCAAGCCUGACCCAGCAACGCCGCGUGAAGGAAGAAGGCUUUCGGGUUGUAAACUUCUUUUAUGAGGGACGAAAGAAAUGACGGUACCUCAUGAAUAAGCCACGGCUAACUCCGUGCCAGCAGCCGCGGUAAUAUGCAGGUGGCAAGCGUUAUCCGGAUUUACUGGGUGUAAAGGGCGUGGAGGCGGGGUUUCAA